rnacentral:lncRNA from 1 species
GUUAGCUAGAGAGAAGCAUGCAGCGAGAAUUAAGGUAGGAGGAGUAGUUGCUUGCCUCCGUCCUGAUCUCCACUGAUUCAUUGUGUUAUAUAUGCAUAAGCAUAACGCAAUUAAUUAGGAGGCCGGUCAGCUCGAUCAUAUCGCAGGGAGUACGUAGCAAAUUAAUGGCGGCCGUCGGGCUGUUGGUACUAGUUGGCCUGCAGGUGGUGGUCGGGUCGAUGGCGGCGCAAGAAGCAGGUGAUGCCCCGGCGAGCAUCACGGGGCCAUGCUCGCGUACAGGAGACAAGAAGGCGUGCGUGGAGUUGUUGUCGGGCAUCCCGGAGGCCCGGAAGGCGACGACGGUGGGCCCCCUCGCGGAGCUGUACCUGCAGGCAAUCGCCAACCACACGACGGAGGCCAAGGCGAUGGCUACCAAGCUGCUAGCCACCAUGAAGGGGAAGGGCGUGCCACCCGUGUGCCUCCAGCAGUGCACCGCCAGCGUCGACACCCUCUCCAACGCCCUCGCCGCCUUCUUCUCUGCCUCCGCCGACGUCAACAAAAAGUACAGGGACUUGGACGGUUUCCUCGUGGGCUUUCUUAAACAACCGCCCAUCUGCAUGAGCGUGUGCCCCAUCCGGUCGUGCGAUAUGGAAGAGGUCACUAUCGCCGACAAGUUCCACCAAGCCUGGAAAAUGUUGGGUGUCGCACACGACCUCAUCACGCAGAUCCUAGGCACAAAGUCCUAGAUACAUUAAGGGGCGGAUCCAUAACAAGAUUUAAGGGGAGGACUCGUGAUCUCUUUCUUCCUUGUUCAGUCCUCUCUACUUUUCAUUUUCUCUCUAUUUUUCCCCCUUUCAUUUCCCCUUCUACCAAUGGUGGUCCAGCGGGAUAGGGGGGACUCGAGUCCCCCUAGCACCCACGUUGGAUCCGCCCCUGGAUACGUUCUAUAUGUUGGACAUUUUGAUUUGCCAUCCUACUACCAGAAUUUACCUAUCAAAUAAAUCUUUCUAGGUUAGCAACCCAAAUACUUCCUUACAACUGUUUUUUUUAUUUAUUUUGACGGGUGCGCAUGUGUCUGUUCCCACCUCCAAUCGAGGAAUAGGAAUUUUUAUCAUACCAGUGUGGGUAUUAUUGUUAUAUACUCCUAUGUUGUUGAAAUAACUGAGAUCGUUAUUUUUAAGAUGUGCACAUUGUAACUAUUUCUAUGGGGAGAAUGAUUUCUAUAUAUUGACUUGCACUAAUAAUAUGUAGCGGCUUUUGAUUCUCUUAUA